UUAACUCGAUUUUGUAUGGAGUUGGAACGUUUGCCUACGUUUGCCGCUAGGAGCGCUGAUCCAACUGCAUACAAAUUAGGGUUA
rfam:Bombyx mori DNA, contig: Bm_scaf120_contig38229, strain: p50T/Dazao, build 2, whole genome shotgun sequence.